UACAGAGGGUGCAAGCGUUAAUCGGAAUUACUGGGCGUAAAGCGUGCGUAGACGGUUACAUAAGUCGGGUGUGAAAGCCCCGGGCUCAACCUGGGAAUAGCAUUCGAGACUGUGUAGCUAGGAUGCGGAAGAGGGAAGCGGAAUUUCCGGUGUAGCGGUGAAAUGCGUAGAUAUCGGAAGGAACACCAGUGGCGAAAGCGGCUUCCUGGUCCAGCAUCGACGUUCAGGCACGAAAGCGUGGGGAGCAAACAGG
rnacentral:rRNA from 1 species